rnacentral:SRP_RNA from 1 species
GCUGGGUGUGGUGGCGCAUGCCUGUAAUCCCAGCUACUCGGGAGGCUGAGGCAGAAGAAUCACUUGAACCCGGGAGGUGGAGGUCGCAGUGAGCUGAGAUUGUGCCACUGCACUCCAGCCUGGGCGACAGAGUGAGACUCUGUCUUAA